CCUACGGGUGGCAGCAGUGAGGAAUAUUGGUCAAUGGCCGGGAGGCUGAACCAGCCAAGUCGCGUGAGGGAAGACGGCCCUACGGGUUGUAAACCUCUUUUGUCAGGGAGCAAGGUGCAGGUCGGGACCUGCUGUGAGAGUACCUGAAGAAAAAGCAUCGGCUAACUCCGUGCCAGCAGCCGCGGUAAUACGGAGGAUGCGAGCGUUAUCCGGAUUUAUUGGGUUUAAAGGGUGCGUAGGUGGAUUGUUAAGUCAGUUGUGAAAGUUUGCGGCUCAACCGUAAAAUUGCAGUUGAAACUGGUAGUCUUGAGUACAGUAGAGGUGGGCGGAAUUCGUGGUGUAGCGGUGAAAUGCUUAGAUAUCACGAAGAACUCCGAUUGCGAAGGCAGCUCACUGGACUGCAACUGACACUGAUGCUCGAAAGUGUGGGUAUCAAACAGGAUUAGAUACCCCAGUAGUC
rnacentral:rRNA from 1 species